UUCCUUGUUUCCAGCCAUCAAAGUGGGAUCAUCAGCAUAUCUGAGGUUGAGCAGCUGCAGAGAAGGCCUAUCUCCAAGGUCCCAUCAAAUGACAUUGCAUUAUCAAUGGGACCUGGAGAUCUUAUAAGGUGAGCAGAAACCAUUGGAGAAAGUCAGUCCCAUAGAUACCCGGGCCUUGAGUCAUGAAGUGGUUUGUAUGCUUAUAAUGGUGGAUUGGUGUGAAUGGUGUCAAAACUAAAAGUGUGCCAGAAUAUGCAGAUAAAUCACAAUAAAAUGAUUGCCUGAAGAAGCAACCAGAAAAGAACAAUUUAUGAAGAAGAAAAGGCAUAAAAAUGACUUAAGAUGAAGGGGAGAUUACAGAUGUUCUUUUCUUAAAUCAGAGGUGAGAAUUUUUGGUGCAUUGAAGUUGCUGACACACCGUCUUUCAUAA